rnacentral:rRNA from 1 species
UGGGGGGGGCUUUCCAAUGCAGUCGAACGAGGUCCAUUGCGAGCUUGCUCAAGAGAAGACCUAGUGGCGAACGGGUGCGUAACACGUGAGGAACCUGCCCCAGACUUGGGAAUAACAGUCGGAAACGGCUGCUAAUACCGAAUACCUUCGUCGCGUCGCAUGGCGCAUCGAAGAAAGCUUUUGCGGUUUGGGAGGGCCUCGCGGCCUAUCAGCUUGUUGGUGAGGUAACGGCUCACCAAGGCAUCGACGGGUAGCUGGUCUGAGAGGAUGAUCAGCCACACUGGGACUGAGACACGGCCCAGACUCCUACGGGAGGCAGCAGUGGGGAAUAUUGCACAAUGGGCGAAAGCCUGAUGCAGCAACGCCGCGUGCGGGAAGAAGGCCCUAGGGUUGUAAACCGCUUUCAGCAGGGAAGAAACUGACGGUACCUGCAGAAGAAGGUGCGGCCAACUACGUGCCAGCAGCCGCGGUAAUAAUCUA